rnacentral:rRNA from 1 species
ACUCAAAGGAAUUGACGGGGACCCGCACAAGCGGUGGAGCAUGUGGUUUAAUUCGAUGCAACGCGAAGAACCUUACCUGGGCUUGAACUGCUAUCGCACCGGCCUGAAAGGGUCGUGCCCUUCGGGGACGGUAGCAGAGGUGCUGCAUGGCUGUCGUCAGCUCGUGCCGUGAGGUGUUGAGUUAAGUCUCGCAACGAGCGCAACCCUUGUCCUUAGUUGCUAACGGUUCGGCCGAGCACUCUAGGGAAACUGCCGGUGAUAAACCGGAGGAAGGUGGGGAUGACGUCAAGUCAGCAUGGCCUUUAUGUCCAGGGCUACACACGUGCUACAAUGGCCGGAACAAAGGGUUGCCAACUCGCGAGAGGGAGCCAAUCCCAAAAAACCGGUCUCAGUUCGGAUUGGAGUCUGCAACUCGACUCCAUGAAGCUGGAAUCGCUAGUAAUCGCGGAUCAGCUACGCCGCGGUGAAUACGUUCCCGGGUCUUGUACACACCGCCCGU